UUUCGAGUUAGCGGCGGACGGGUGGAGGUAACACGUGGGUAACGUACCUAUAAGACUGGGAGUAACUCCGGGAAACCCGGAGCUAAUACCGGAUAACAUUUAGAACCGCAUGGUUCUAAAGUGAAAGANGGUUUUGCUAUCACUUAUAGAUGGACCCGCGCCGUAUUAGCUAGUUGGUAAGGUAACGGCUUACCAAGGCGACGAUACGUAGCCGACCUGAGAGGGUGAUCGGCCACACUGGAACUGAGACACGGUCCAGACUCCUACGGGAGGCAGCAG
rnacentral:rRNA from 1 species